UACGGAGGGGGCUAGCGUUGUCCGGAUUUAUUGGGCGUAAAGAGCGUGUAGGCGGCCAGGUAGGUCUGCUGUGAAAACUCGAGGCUCAACCUCGAGACGUCGGCGGAAACCAUCUGGCUAGAGUCCGGAAGAGGAGAGUGGAAUUCCCGGUGUAGCGGUGAAAUGCGCAGAUAUCGGGAAGAACACCCGUGGCUAAGGCGGCUCUCUAGUACGGUACUGACGCUGAGACGCGAAAGCGUGGGGAGCGAACAGG
rnacentral:rRNA from 1 species